rnacentral:rRNA from 1 species
UAUCAUUAACUGAAUCCAUAGGUUAAUGAGGCGAACCGGGGGAACUGAAACAUCUAAGUACCCCGAGGAAAAGAAAUCAACCGAGAUUCCCCCAGUAGCGGCGAGCGAACGGGGAGGAGCCCAGAGCCUGAAUCAGCAUGUGUGUUAGUGGAAGCGUCUGGAAAGGCGCGCGAUACAGGGUGACAGCCCCGUACACAAAAGCGCAUGUGCUGUGAGCUCGAUGAGUAGGGCGGGACACGUGGUAUCCUGUCUGAAUAUGGGGGGACCAUCCUCCAAGGCUAAAUACUCCUGACUGACCGAUAGUGAACCAGUACCGUGAGGGAAAGGCGAAAAGAACCCCGGCGAGGGGAGUGAAAAAGAACCUGAAACCGUGUACGUACAAGCAGUGGGAGCACAGGUUUACCUGUGUGACUGCGUACCUUUUGUAUAAUGGGUCAGCGACUUAUAUUCUGUAGCAAGGUUAACCGAAUAGGGGAGCCG